GAGAGGAGAGGGCAAGGGGGAGAAGCUGGAGGAGGAGGUGCAGAAGGAAGACGAUGAAACAUAGGCUCCAGUGGACUCUUCCUUAAGGUUCAGUGUUCCUGAAGCUGCAUGGACUGAACCAACUCCGUGCUGAGGGGUGUGGACCUGAAACGAUCCCCCUAAAUGGACAAUAAGAAUGUCCGCAACCAUUUACCUCGUCACACACAUUCAUACACAUCGGUUUGUUACCUGUACAGCUGCUGUUGCUUGUUUGCUGUUGUAAAUGAGAGGGUGCUGUUAACAUGGCUCGGGUGAAUUGUCACACCUGAGCAGGUACAGUUUGUUUAUCUGGCAGCCUGUUGUCGGUGUAGUUGGUCCUGACCAGAUUAUUUCUAAAUGCGUUAUAUACCGACUCUUGAGAGAGACUCAUAUUUACCAGGACAGUGUUUAUCUCUCUUCCACUAACAAACUUGUUUUUAAUUUAUGUUCAAAUCAGUCACACAAGCAUUACAUCCAUUAACCUUAACAUUACCCUUAAUCCAUACCUGCCUUUUUUAAGAUAACCUAACCUCAACCCUUCAUUAUCUUCCCCUAUUAAUCUUAACCCUAGCCCUGCUUCAGGGAGGUUUUGGUAGAAAUGUUCAAACCUGGACAAAUAAAACUGCACAGAUAGAGGAAAGUGAGAAUUUGUUUCUCAAUGCUAUUUGGGUGAAUUGUACCUUUUUAAUCCCUCAACAUAACCUUAAUCUACCUCUGCUAACUCUUUUCUGUUAUGAGGAGGUACGUUGUCCUUCAGUUGGCUUUUAUGUUAUUUUUUAAUGUUUCAGUAUUGGUACUUGCGUGGCCAUCACAUCCUAAUAAGACCUUGUGAAAUCUGGUGUAAAUUCACAUGGUUCCUAACGCCUCUUUUUUUAGAUUUUAAGGUUCUCUGUGUCGUCUCACAUCCCUAGAUUGUCUGAAAAUAAACAAAGAGGCAUGAGUACAUUUAGAGUUAAAAAUCUCCAACGUGUUUAUCCUCUCCAGGGAGGAUAGGAGAAGACGGGGCUGAUGGGAAAUGUAGUUUUAUUUGGAAUGUGCCUUUUUGUUUUUGUUUUUUUUAAUUUGACGUCAGAUUGAUGUUAAAUCGACACUCACAGCAGCUUUAAACCCCUAAAUUACAGCAUUAUUAUGGUUCUUGACAUUACCUUGACAUUAAAACUCGCGGGGGAGGACUCAGUGCCUUGCUCACGGACACCACAGCAGUACACGCAUGUUCCGAGCUGCUUCGUGUUUUUAUAAAGCUUUGUACAGGAAGAUAUUUUAUUCUGUAUUUUAUUGUGACACGGUGAAAUGUUUCUAUUCUUUUUGUCUGCAGUUGUUACAGUUGUGUUUUAGGAUGGCUGUUACUCACUCUGUUAUGUAAAUAUGUAAUUUUUACUUAAAAUGUUUUUUAACACGACUGUUUUUAAAAGCUGA